rnacentral:lncRNA from 1 species
AGUAACUGCAUUAAACCUCAGGUGUGUUUCAUUAACGACUUUAAAUUCAUUUCAGUGGAUGUCAUCCAGGCUCAUACAUGUUUGCAUAUAAGCAUAUAUACCUUUUAAGUAUUUGCAAAACUCAACACAUUUUUAAAAACACUGAAACUUUCUAAUUAUGCAUGCACCUUGAAAACACACACACACAUACACACACACACAAUGUUUAUGGAAGUAUCUGCAGAGGUUAAAAGAAGACAUCAGUUUUUUAGAAGUGGAGUUAAAGAUGGUUUGAGCUGCCACAAAGAUGCUGGAGACUUAACUCAAUUUUCUAAUGGACCAGGCAGUGUUCUUAGCCGCUGACCCUUCCUCUGCAAUCUCUUCUGGGACACUAUCAAUAUAGCAUAGUUUUAUGUUCCCUUCUUUGGAAGCUUUGGGAAUUUUCCACCUAAGAAAUCCUCUUACUAAGUAAACAUCUCUGUGUGUCUUCUCUUCCCAUUAGAGAAUAUUAUGUAGACAGAGCUCAGACCUAGCAGUUGGAAAACUGACCUCCAUCCCUUGGAGCUGACUAAGAAGAUGAACCCAGGUGAAUAACAGAGUGUCAUCAGCAUUUUCCCUUGAGUUGAGUGAGGCUCUCGGUGUUUGACUUGUUUUCUAAGAUGAUCAAAAGGAACAUGGUGAACUGGUUUGUAAGCUGAUGUUUUUAUCUGAGUACUGUCAGGACCGUGACAGCAUUGCAAUUGCAUAAUUUAUUUGUACCUUUGCCUUUGGACACAUGUGAUCUUAAAUAGAAUGUCUUUACAACUUCCUCUAGUCUUAAUAGAUAUGAUAAAAAAGAACAUGUUUUAGGAAUAUGGAAACAGAGUCUAGUCACUAGCUGGCCUAGAUAAACAUGCAAAAUAGCUGUUUAGCUAGGGGAUUAAGAGACAUUACCCCUGAUCUGUGACAUUGGCCUAUUGACUAUUUUGAGUUAAAACCAAUGAGAUGCAGAAGAUAUAAGAGGAAGUCAUCUCAUCUCUGUUCUGUCUAAAGGUAGGCCAUAUGUUUUCCUUUGCAAAGAUGCCUUUCCCCCAUGUGGACAAUAGGAGAACAAUUUUCCUUGCUAGGGAUAAAACAAGUGUUCAUAACAUGCUGAGAUAAAUAAUCUUUAUCCAUAAUACAGUCUAUCUUUUACCACUUCCCAAAUCACCAGCCCAUGGAGCUAACUGCCUCUGCAGUUGGACAUCACUUUUCUGGGUAGCUUCCAAGGAGAUAAAAAUGCGAUUAUCAGCAAACAGGGAUUAUUCUCUUCAUCAGUUUAAUUGACUUGUACAGAAUCAGUAACUCCAGAAAGGCAGGAGAGCUGUUGCCUUUGCACUUGUAUAAAGGUCCUAAAAUGAGAACUCAGGUCACAAGGUGCUGAUGUGGAUUCAGGAGUUGAAUAUAUUGCCCAAGACAAGUCCUUUCCCUUCUGUUUGCUACUACUUCAUGGUCUUUGGAAGACAUAUUUUAGACAAAGUGAGAUUGAUUAUUCUACAAUUUAUUGUGAAAAUCCUUUCCAUGCACACAUGCAUCAACGUGGUGAUGAUUGUAAGAAAGAAGGGACACAGGAAGGAGUGAUAGUAGUGUGAAAUCCUGGCGCAUUCCUUACUACAAGGAGUUCAGGUUCAGCAUGAGAGAGU